rnacentral:lncRNA from 1 species
GGUUGGUGUUACUUAAUCUGAAGUUUUUAGUGUAGCUUUUUCUAGACUUUUGCAUGUUUUGGUAGACUGUUCAUCUUUUUUCUCUUGUCUAUGGGAUUUUCUGCCUUCUUUGACUUCUGGUUUUAGGUCCGUAUAUUCAUCUUUUUAUAUAAAUUACUGAAUAAAUGUUCAUAGUCCUGAUACAAAAAUUUAGCUCUAACAGUUUUCUAAUUUACACAUAGUUCACUUUGAAACAAAGUUUGCACAAUUUAAUAGCCAGUUUUUUAAUUUUCUUUUAAUUUCUGCAUCUUGAUAAUCACUUAUAAUUGACUCGAAGAGGCUGGCUCUCGAGGGCUGGCUUUAGAACUGACAUAUGAGAUAUCAAAUGUUAAAUAAAAAUAAACAACAUAUUUUAGCUUCUAAUGAUUUUAUACAUGUUUCAGAUCUGAAUAUAUGAUACAAUAAAAUAAAACAUAAAAUACAUGUGUUAUGAAAAUAAUAGCAAAUCCAUAGUAAAUAUUGAUUAAAAAAAAAAGUCUGAAGAUAUAAGCCAUGUUCAGGGAGAGUGUAUAAAUCAUGCAUUUGUAUUAUUUCUAUUUUAGUGGAAUAAGAACCUAUAGAAUCAAAAAUGUUAUUUAACAUCAACAACUACAAGAUUAUAUAAGAAAUAUGUCAUUUUAAUCUCUUAAAUACCUGAGAAAACUAGAAGCAACAUCACACAAUUCUCAAUUUUAUUCUCAGCAUGAAAAAAACAAAAAAAAUAAAGAUUACUUAGAACCGUGUGUCUUUUGUGAGUAAGCCCAGGCCUAAUAUUUGCUUCCAAAAAAACCCAGUCCAUUUAUCAGUUAAAUUUGGAAAAAAUCCCACAAAAAAACACAAGCAGAACUUUAAUGUUACACUGCUGAUGGAAUGUAGGAACACAAUAUGUUGCAAGCUUUGUAACUGAAAGAAAAACUUAUGGUUUUGUGCAAGAUAGAACAUUAAAAAUACUGGUACACAAAUUUCACGACAGUUCCAUUUUUUAUAUCAUUAACCUCAAAACAAAAUCUUUUUAUAUCAAAGAAAGGUAUUAAGAAACAAUUGAUUAUCAUAAUUGUAUAAAUAAACCAAUUGUUCAAGAUGUUUCGGCCAUUGGCCUUCUUCAGUUGUUUAUUAUUCCUCUAAACUACAGGCUGCCAUUUCUUUUUUUCAAUCAUUGAAAGAUGUUAUAGAUAAAUGUCCUUGGAAACGUCAUGACGUCAUAAUACUAUUAUUAUUAUUAGUAUUAUGACGUAAUGACGUUUCCAAGGACAUUUAUCUAUAACAUCUUUUCAAUGAUUGAAAAAAGAAAUGGCAGCCAUGUAGUUUAGAGGAAUAAUAAACAACUGAAGAAAGCCAAUUGCCGAAACGUCUUGAACAAUUGGUUUAUUUAUACAAUUAUAAAAGGUAUGUUUCCUAUUGGAAUUUUGAAAACAAGGAAUUGAUUAUCAGUUAAACAAGGCUAAUAGGUUAAACAAUAAACAUUUUCACCUCAAAACAAUAAAAAUGUGUGUGUAUACAGUAAACUGGCACCUAGAAACAUAUUGGUUAAAAUUAAAAAAAUAACAGUACUAGUAAUUAAAAUCAUUCCAUCUUUUAUCACUUGAUAGCUGCCAUGUUGUGUUGGAUACUCAAAAAUAUUCAAUAAAUUCUGAUUGUGAAACCAAAGUCUAGAAAGUGAUACAUUUCUAUUUUAAACAAAUAUUUUGUAUCAAAUUUAAAUAAAAUUUAACUACAUAAUUUUUUUUACAUAACUUUUUUUUUCAAUAUAUAUCAAAAUCUACUGAUAUUUUAAUAUCUAUAUAUAAUAAUCUUGAUUGCAAGUUAUAUUUUUUCUUUAAAUUUUUCCUCUGCCAUAGUAACAAAAUUUCCACAUAUGUACAAGGUACCCACCUCCCAAAAACUUGAAAAAGGAAAUAUAUAUAUAAUGGGAGACAACUUUCAAUUGACAAAAAAUAUGGAAUAAUAAAUCAUGGUUAAUAAAAGAUUACACAAAAACUGAGACAAAAUUACACAUAAUAAAUGGGACAAGUGUUGUUAAAUACAUGUAGAAUACAAUGUGAAACUUAAAGUGAAUAAUAAAUAACAUAAAUUUGCCAUUUGUAUUAUAUUGGAAUGUUCACCCAUAGAGAUUAGGACUCUAUAUCAAAAUGAACAGAAUGUAAAAUUUUCAAAUCAACAAGAACAAACUUAAAUUCAAUAAGGCCGCCAUCAUUAAAUCUAUAAAUAGAUUCUAAAGCAAUUUGUCAAAAAUGUAUGCCAGGUAAGGAGGUACAUCUGACCAUUAUUUUUUAUAAGAACAUCUGAUAUUUAUUCAAGAAAUGAAUAGUUCUUUGACUCUUCUGUCUUUUUAGGUCAAAAGAUCAAAAUUAUUUAUGAGGUAGAUAUUGAAGAGAUGAGGUGGGACCUGAGAAUCC